rnacentral:rRNA from 1 species
UGAAUACGAGACGCUACGGCGUCGAAGCAGUCUAUGUCAUACUUCCAAGAAAAGCUCGCAAUGUCAUAAACAAAUAAUGCCUGUACCAUAACCGACACAGGUGGGUAGGUAGAGUAUACUAAGGGGCGCGAGAUAACUCUCUCUAAGGAACUCGGCAAAAUGACUCCGUAACUUCGGGAGAAGGAGUGCCUUAUUUAUAAGGUUGCAAUAACAAGAUCCAAGCAACUGUUUAUCAAAAACACAGGUCUCCGCUAAGUCGUAAGACGAUGUAUGGGGGCUGACGCCUGCCCAGUGCCAGAAGGUUAAAGAAGUUGGUUAGCAUUCGCGAAGCUGAUAACUGAAGCCCUGGUGAACGGCGGCCGUAACAAUAACGGUCCUAAGGUAGCGAAAUUCCUUGUCGGGUAAGUUCCGACCCGCACGAAAGGCGUAAUGAUUUGGAUACUGUCUCGGAGAGGGGCUCGGUGAAAUAGACUUGUCUGUGAAGAUGCGGACUACCUGCACCUGGACAGAAAGACCCUAUGAAGCUUUACUGUAACUUGAAAUUGAAAUUGGACUUUAUUUGCGCAGCAUGGGUGGGAGGCGUUGAGAGUAUUCUUGCGGGAAUAUUGGAGCCAUCAGUGAGAUACCACUCUUGUAAUGUUAGAUUUCUAACUUUGGAUCAUUAUCUGGUCAAAGAACAGUUUCAGGCGGGCAGUUUGACUGGGGCGGUCGCCUCCCAAAUGGUAACGGAGGCGUACAAAGGUUUCCUCUGAACGGGUAGAAAUCGUAUCUAGAGUGUAAAGGCAUAAGGAAGCUUGACUGUGAGACCUACAAGUCGAGCAGGGACGAAAGUCGGUCUUAGUGAUCUGACGGUGCUGAGUGGAAAGGCCGUCACUCAACGGAUAAAAGUUACUCUAGGAUAACAGGCUGAUCUCCCCCAAGAGUUCACAUCGACGGGGAGGUUUGGCACCUCGAUGUCGGCUCAUCGCAUCCUGGGGCGGUAGUACGUCCCAAGGGUUGGGCUGUUCGCCCAUGAAAGCGGUACGCGAGCUGGGUUCAGAACGUCGUGAGACAGUUCGGUCCAUAUCCGGUGUAGGCGUUAGAAUAUUGAGAGGAGCCUUCUUUAGUACGAGAGGACCGAGAAGGACAUACCUCUGGUGUACCAGUUAUCGUGCCAACGGUAAACGCUGGGUAGCUAUGUAUGGAGAGGAUAACCGCUGAAAGCAUCUAAGUGGGAAGCCCACCUCAAGAUAAGUAUUC